GGGCAAUUGGUCUAGGGGUAUGAUUUUCGCUUCGCACCAUGUGCUCUCUGUGAAAGGUCACCGGUUCAAAUCCGGUAUUGUCCA